CUGUUUACGAACCCUCGAAGCACUGACCUUGGGAGUUGAGGGAUUGCUCUGGCCCUUCUCCCUAUUUUUAUUAUUGUGAUUUGUAUUCUGGAAUCUGUGGAUGUUCUACCAUGUGGCCAGUGUUGUAGCGGUUGGACAUCUCUUUAUAUUAAUUUGUUGCCGAGUCGUUUACUCUUUGGAGAAGUUACAGUAAAAGGGGGAUGUGCCUCCUGCGACCCCCCUGGGGGGGGCUGCCGCCCCCCAAACCCCGCCGAGGUAACAAAGAAUUCACCGCGUCUUCACGGCAGGAUUGAGCGCAUAUGUAGAUGCAUCGAAAAAGGCGCAAAACCCGCCGAGCUGACGAGGGCGGGCCACCGCCGCUCUUAUGGUCAUGGUAUACCUCGUUCAUCCUGAUUAUUCUACAAUCAGCUCUAUAUACAAUGCUGAUUAUGUCAAGUUGACGCUAUUAAGGGAAGUGACAGCAGUUGGACUUUUGGUUACUCCCCUGGGCAGAGGCAGCAUUAGUGAACUUUUAUGUACUGCUUGAAGACCCCAGUGGACCUCUAGCGACUGGCGUUCAUCCUUCUGCUCUCAUGGAAUGAAGUCUACCAACGCAUGCCUACAUUGUAAGACCUAAUAUGUUGUGACUUGUAAUUUACCAUUUGAAACGUGGCUUGUUUAAAGAGUAUUGUUAGUUUACAGCCAUGGCACCAGCAGAAGAGUGUCCUAAGGUUCUUUAAAUAAAAAAGACACAGGUUACGGUACAUUUUCAGUGCCAUCCAGCCUCCAAUUUUUUAAACUUUUUUUUUGGAAUGUAUUAUUCCUUCACUGUUUAGUGCUAUAAUGCUGCUGUUCUCCGUCGCAUCUGACUGCUUGACUAGUGACAUAACUUGUACUUCCUGACGUCAAGGUUGCCUAAGUGUGUAAGCCUAGGUUUUACACUGUAUUUCUAGGAAGAAUAUGCAUGAUUUACUCACAGCAAAGUAUAUCAA